GGGGGUUUGAAUCUGUGAUAGAUUGAUGAUGGGGGUUUGAGUCUGUGAGGGGUUGAUGGUGGGGUAAUCUGAAAGUUUGAUGGUGGGGGGAAUCUGUGAGAGGUUGAUGGUGGGGGAUUCUGUGAGAGGUUGAUGGUGGGGGGAUCAUCGAUAGUAGGGGUGGGUUUGAAUCUGUGAGAUGUUGUUGUUGGGUAAUCUGUGAAAGGUUGAUGGGGGAUCCUGUGAGAGGCUGAUGGUUGAAUAUGUGAUAGUUUGAUGGUGGGGGUUGUUUGAAUCUGUGAGAGGUUGAUGGUGGGGAGGUUUGAAUCCAAAAGAGGUUGAUGGUAGGGUCUUUGAAUUUGUCAGACGUUGAUGAUGGGGGCUUUGAAUCUGUGAGAGGUUGACGGUGGGAGGAUUUGAAUCUGUGAGAGAUUGAUGGUGGAGGGUUUGAAUCUGUGAGAGGUUGACGGUGGGGGGUUU